AACGAACGCUGGCGGCAGGCUUAACACAUGCAAGUCGAACGCCCCGCAAGGGGAGUGGCCGACGGGUGAGUAACGCGUGGGAAUCUACCCAUCCCCGAGGAAUAGCCCUGGGAAACUGGAAUUAAUACCGCAUACGCCCUACGGGGGAAAGAUUUAUCGGGGAUGGAUGAGCCCGCGUUGGAGUAGCAAGUUGGUGGGGUAAAGGCCUACCAAGGCGACGACCCAUAGCUGGUCUGAGAGGAUGAUCAGCCACAUUGGGACUGAGACACGGCCCAAACUCCUACGGGAGGCAGCAGUGGGGAAUAUUGGACAAUGGGCGCAAGCCUGAUCCAGCCAUGCCGCGUGAGUGAUGAAGGCCUUAGGGUUGUAAAGCUCUUUCACCGAUGAAGAUAAUGACGGUAGUCGGAGAAGAAGCCCCGGCUAACUUCGUGCCAGCCGCCGCAGUAA
rnacentral:rRNA from 1 species